rnacentral:rRNA from 1 species
UACGAAGGGGGCUAGCGUUGCUCGGAAUCACUGGGCGUAAAGGGUGCGUAGGCGGGUCUUUAAGUCAGGGGUGAAAUCCUGGAGCUCAACUCCAGAACUGCCUUUGAUACUGAAGAUCUUGAGUCCGGGAGAGGUGAGUGGAACUGCGAGUGUAGAGGUGAAAUUCGUAGAUAUUCGCAAGAACACCAGUGGCGAAGGCGGCUCACUGGCCCGGUACUGACGCUGAGGUGCGAAAGCGUGGGGAGCAAACGGG